GAUGAACGCUGGCGGCGUGCCUAAUACAUGCAAGUCGAGCGAACAGACGAGGAGCUUGCUCCUCUGACGUUAGCGGCGGACGGGUGAGUAACACGUGGAUAACCUACCUAUAAGACUGGGAUAACUUCGGGAAACCGGAGCUAAUACCGGAUAAUAUAUUGAACCGCAUGGUUCAAUAGUGAAAGACGGUUUUGCUGUCACUUAUAGAUGGAUCCGCGCCGCAUUAGCUAGUUGGUAAGGUAACGGCUUACCAAGGCAGCGAUGCGUAGCCGACCUGAGAGGGUGAUCGGCCACACUGGAACUGAGACACGGUCCAGACUCCUACGGGAGGCAGCAGUAGGGAAUCUUCCGCAAUGGGCGAAAGCCUGACGGAGCAACGCCGCGUGAGUGAUGAAGGUCUUCGGAUCGUAAAACUCUGUUAUUAGGGAAGAACAAAUGUGUAAGUAACUAUGCACGUCUUGACGGUACCUAAUCAGAAAGCCACGGCUAACUACAUG
rnacentral:rRNA from 1 species